rnacentral:rRNA from 1 species
AUUGAACGCUGGCGGCAUGCCUUACACAUGCAAGUCGAACGGCAGCACGGGGCAACCUGGUGGCGAGUGGCGAACGGGUGAGUAAUGCAUCGGAACGUACCUUUCAGUGGGGGAUAACGUAGCGAAAGUUACGCUAAUACCGCAUAUUCUGUGAGCAGGAAAGCAGGGGAUCGCAAGACCUUGCGCUGAUUGAGCGGCCGAUGUCAGGUUAGCUAGUUGGUGAGGUAAAGGCUCACCAAGGCGACAAUCUGUAGCGGGUCUGAGAGGAUGAUCCGCCACACUGGAACUGAGACACGGUCCAGACUCCUACGGGAGGCAGCAGUGGGGAAUUUUGGACAAUGGGGGCAACCCUGAUCCAGCCAUGCCGCGUGAGUGAAGAUGGCCUUCGGGUUGUAAAGCUCUUUCGGCCGGGAAGAAAUCGCACGGGCUAAUACCCUGUGUGGAUGACGGUACCGGAAUAAGAAGCACCGGCUAACUACGUGCCAGCCGCCGCGGUAAGAC